GCGAAUGUAGCUCAGUUGGUUAGAGCGCCAGUUUGUGGUACUGGAAGUCGUGGGUUCAAAUCCCAUCAUUCGCCCCA
rnacentral:tRNA from 1 species